AACGCGAAGAACCUUACCUGGUCUUGACAUCCCCCUGAAUGGAGGGUAAUGCCUUCAGUCCUUCGGGACAGGGGAGACAGGUGGUGCAUGGUUGUCGUCAGCUCGUGUCGUGAGAUGUUGGGUUAAGUCCCGCAACGAGCGCAACCCCUAUCCUCAGUAGCCAGCACGUAAAGGUGGGCACUCUGUGGAGACUGCCGGGGAUAACCCGGAGGAAGGCGGGGAUGACGUCAAAUCAUCAUGCCCCUUAUGGCCAGGGCUACACACGUGCUACAAUGGCGUAAACAAAGGGAAGCGAAGUGGCGACACGGAGCAAAUCCCAAAAAUAACGUCUCAGUUCGGAUUGUAGUCUGCAACCCGACUACAUGAAGCCGGAAUCGCUAGUAAUCGCGGAUCAGAAUGCCGCGGUGAAUACGUUCCCGGGUCUUGUACACACCG
rnacentral:rRNA from 1 species